rnacentral:rRNA from 1 species
GACGAACGCUGGCGGCGUGCUUAACACAUGCAAGUCGAACGGAAAGGCCCUGCUUUUGUGUGGUGCUCGAGUGGCGAACGGGUGAGUAACACGUGAGUAACCUGCCCUUGACUUUGGGAUAACUUCAGGAAACUGGGGCUAAUACCGGCUAGGAGCUCCUGCUGCAUGGUGGGGGUUGGAAAGUUUCGGCGGUUGGGGAUGGACUCGCGGCUUAUCAGCUUGUUGGUGGGGUAGUGGCUUACCAAGGCUUUGACGGGUAGCCGGCCUGAGAGGGUGACCGGCCACAGUGGGACUGAGAUACGGCCCAGAGUGCUACGGGAGGCAGCAGUGGGGAAUAUUGCAAGAUGGGCGGAAGCCUGAUGCAGCAACGCCGCGUGCGGGAUGACGGCCUUCGGGUUGUAAACCGCUUUCGCCUGUGACGAAGCGUGAGUGACGGUAAUGGGUAAAGAAGCACCGGCUAACUACGUG